rnacentral:rRNA from 1 species
GACGAACGCUGGCGGCGUGCUUAACACAUGCAAGUCGAACGGAAAGGCCCUGCUUUUGUGGGGUGCUCGAGUGGCGAACGGGUGAGUAACACGUGAGUAACCUGCCCUUGACUUUGGGAUAACUUCAGGAAACUGGGGCUAAUACCGGAUAGGAGCUCCUGCUGCAUGGUGGGGGUUGGAAAGUUUCGGCGGUUGGGGAUGGACUCGCGGCUUAUCAGCUUGUUGGUGGGGUAGUGGCUUACCAAGGCUUUGACGGGUAGCCGGCCUGAGAGGGUGACCGGCCACAUUGGGACUGAGAUACGGCCCAGACUCCUACGGGAGGCAGCAGUGGGGAAUAUUGCACAAUGGGCGGAAGCCUGAUGCAGCAACGCCGCGUGCGGGAUGACAGCCUUCGGGUUGUAAACCGCUUUCGCCUGUGACGAAGCGUGAGUGACGGUAAUGGGUAAAGAAGCACCGGCUAACUACGUGCCAGCAGCCGCGGUGAUACGUAGGGUGCGAGCGUUGUCCGGAUUUAUUGGGCGUAAAGGGCUCGUAGGUGGUUGAUCGCGUCGGAAGUGUAAUCUUGGGGCUUAACCCUGAGCGUGCUUUCGAUACGGGUUGACUUGAGGAAGGUAGGGGAGAGUGGAAUUCCUGGUGGAGCGGUGGAAUGCGCAGAUAUCAGGAGGAACACCAGUGGCGAAGGCGGUUCUCUGGGCCUUUCCUGACGCUGAGGAGCGAAAGCGUGGGGAGCGAACAGGCUUAGAUACCCUGGUAGUCCACGCUGUAAACGGUGGGUACUAGGUGUGGGGUCCAUUCCACGGGUUCCGUGCCGUAGCUAACGCUUUAAGUACCCCGCCUGGGGAGUACGGCCGCAAGGCUAAAACUCAAAGGAAUUGACGGGGCCCCGCACAAGCGGCGGAGCAUGCGGAUUAAUUCGAUGCAACGCGUAGAACCUUACCUGGGUUUGACAUGGAUCGGGAGUGCUCAGAGAUGGGUGUGCCUCUUUUGGGGUCGGUUCACAGGUGGUGCAUGGCUGUCGUCAGCUCGUGUCGUGAGAUGUUGGGUUAAGUCCCGCAACGAGCGCAACCCUUGUUCACUGUUGCCAGCACGUUAUGGUGGGGACUCAGUGGAGACCGCCGGGGUCAACUCGGAGGAAGGUGGGGAUGACGUCAAGUCAUCAUGCCCCUUAUGUCCAGGGCUUCACGCAUGCUACAAUGGCUGGUACAGAGAGUGGCGAGCCUGUGAGGGUGAGCGAAUCUCGGAAAGCCGGUCUCAGUUCGGAUUGGGGUCUGCAACUCGACCUCAUGAAGUCGGAGUCGCUAGUAAUCGCAGAUCAGCAACGCUGCGGUGAAUACGUUCCCGGGGCU